AGGUCCGUAGCUCUAACGGCAGAGCACCGGUCUCCAAAACCGNNGGUUCAAAUCCUGCCGGGCCUGCCA
rnacentral:tRNA from 1 species